CAGUCGCCGCGGGAAUACGUAGGGGGCGAGCGUUGUCCGAAGUUACUGGGCGUAAAGAGCGCGUAGGCUGGUCUUUAAGUGAGUGGUGAAAGGUUCGGGCUCAACCCGGACACUGCCUUUCAUACUGGGGACCUUGAGUGUGGGAGAGGCGAGUGGAAUGGUCGGUGUAGCGGUGAAAUGCGUAGAUAUCGAUCGGAACACCCAUGGCGAAGGCAGCUCGCUGGCCUAACACUGACGCUGAGGCGCGAAAGCUAGGGGAGCAAACAGGAUUAGAUACCCCCGUAGUCCCUGUCUCUUAUAC
rnacentral:rRNA from 1 species